rnacentral:rRNA from 1 species
AACGUAGGAGACAAGCGUUAUCCGGAAUUACUGGGCGUAAAGAGCGUGUAGGCGGGUGCGCAAGUGGGGGGUGAAAUCUUCUGGCUAAACUGGAAGAGGUCGUUCCAGACUGCGGAUCUAGAGUUCGGCAGAGGGGCAUGGAAUUCCGGGUGUAGUGGUGAAAUGCGUAGAGAUCCGGAGGAACACCAGUGGCGAAGGCGGUGCCCUGGGCUGAAACUGACGCUGAGACGCGAAAGCAUGGGGAGCGAACGGG